CGGCAGCGCGGAAGGCCAGCCUGCAGAGAGGCUGGGCCCAGCGCCCUGACUGACCCAGCCCCGCCACGUCCAAGGUUCCCGCCCUCUGGAGGAAGCCGCGCAAUCACUCCGGGGGCGGGGAGAGACAGACAACUGAGAGGAAGGAGGUACCACGGGCACUCUCUCGCGAGAGGGCCGCAGAGCCGCCUUUGACGGGGGCGUGUACCUGGAGAGCAACGCUCUUGACAAAAUUCUCAGGGAAAACUCUUCAGCUCUGGAUGUCUCCCUUUUUGUGGAUCAAACACAAAGGGCAUCAUUCUAAAAUAUAUACAGAACCAUAAAAGCCCCAAAUAGCCAAAGCAACCCUGAGCAAAAAGAACAAGGCUGGAAGCAUCACACUACCAGACUUCAAAAUUUACUACAAAGCUCUAAUACCUAAAAUAACAUGGUACUGGCAUUAAAAAAAAAAAAAAAAUAGGCACAUAGACCACCAAUGAAACAGUAUAGAGAAUCUAGAUAUACCAACUCAUCUUUAACAAAGGUGCCAAGAACAUACAAUGAGGAAACGAUGGUCUUUUCAAUAAAUGGUGUGGGGGAAAGCUAGAUAACUAUAUGCAGAAGAAUGAAACAAGAUUCCUCUCUCUCGCUAUACACAAAAAUCAAAUCAAAAUGGAUUAAAGGCUUAAAUCUAAGACCUGAAACUACAAAACUAGAAGAACACACUGGAGAAGUGCUCCAGGACCUUGGUCUGGGAAAAGAUUUUUUUGUUUAAGACCUCAAAAGCACAGACAACAAAGCAAAAACAGACAAAUGAGAUUACAUUAAGCUAAAAAGUUUCUGCACAGCAAAGGAAACACUCAACAGAGUGGGGGAGACAACCCACAGAAUGAGAGAAAACAUUUUCAAACUAUCCAUCCGACAAGGGAUUAAUGACCAGAAUAAAGAGACCAAACAAUUUAAGCCAAAAACAAAACAAACAAACACACAAAAAAAACAAAAGCCAAAUAAUCUAAAAAGUGGGCAGGUUGGGUGGGGUGGCUCAAGCCUAUAAUCCCAGCACUUUGGGAGGCCAAGGCAGGCAGGUCAAGAGAUCGAGACCAUCCUGGCCAACAUGGUGAAACCCCAUCUCUACUGAAAAUACAAAAAAAAUUAGCCGGGUGUGGUGGCAUGUGCCUGUAGUCCCAGCUACUUGGGAAGCUGAGGCAGUGAGAAUCGCUUGAACCUGGGAGGCAGAGGUUGCAGUGAACCAAGAUCACACAACUGCACUCCAGCCUGAUGACAGAGCGAGACUCCAUCUUGAAAAAAAAAAAAAAAAAAGUGGGCAAAAGAUCCAAACAGACAUUUCUCAAAGGAAGACAUAAAAAUGGCCAACAGGUAUAUGAAAAAAUGCUCAACAUUACUAAUCAUUAGAGAAAUGCAAAUUAAAACAACAUGUUAUUUCACCCCAGUUAAAAUGGCUUGUAUUAAGAAAACAGAUAAUAACAGAUGCUAGUGAGGAUGUGGAGAAAAGAGAACCCUCAUACACUGUUGGUAGAAAUGUAAACUAGUACAACCACUAUGAAGAACAGUAUGGAAGUUCUUCAAAAAACUAAAAAUAGAAUUACCAUAUGAUCCAGCAAUUCCACUACUGAAUAUGUAUCCAAAAGAAAGGAAAUCCGUAUAUCAAAAAGAUAUCUGCACUCCCAUGUUUAUUGCAGCAUUGUUCACAAUAGCCAAGAUAUGGAAUUAACCUAAGUGCCCAUCAAUGGGUGAAUGGAUAAAGUGUGGUGGAUGGAAAGCCGAUUUCCAGUCUUUAUGAUAACGCCGAUGUUCCACUUGGGAAAGAUACUGUACAACAAUGAAAGUAGCCCUUUCUUUUGUCUUUCAAAGAAUGUAUUUUUAACAAACAGCCUCUGUGUGAUCCUUUUGACCACACAAUUUGUAGAGUUAACGCUGAAAUUUUCAUUAGCAACAAUGAAAGCACACACAGGCACAAUAUUAAUAUAGAUUAAUAUCAGCCUAUUUUGGUCAGAAAGGCUCAUUUAAAUGUUUAAGAGACAGAAGUCCCAAAUUGUAGUAAUUUCUUCCACUAGCAGGAGGAAGCUCAGAAUUAGUUUUUCUACAACACUAGAGGAAUACUACUCAAAAAUAAAAAGGAAUUAACCAUUGAUACAUGCAACAACACAGAUGAAUCUCAAAGUAAUUGUGCUGAAAGAAACCAGACCCAGAAAAAGAUAAAUUCUAUAUGAUCUCAUUUAUAUAAGACUCUAGGAAAUGCAAACUAAUCUACACAUACAGAAAACUGAGGGCAGGUACUGAGAAGGGUAGGAGGGGGGCGUUACAGAGAGGCAUGAGGAAACUUUUUGGGGUGAUAGAUAUGUUUACUACUUUGAUUGUAAGGAUGAGGUCGCAACUCUGUGCGUGUCAGUGGUAUAUUUUAAUAUGAACGGCUUAUUUUAUGUAAAUUCUACCCCUAUAAAGCUGUUUUUUUUAAAAAAAAAAACUUCUCUUUGAGAGACAUCACCUUUGUCUUUUAAACCAUCUAAUGUUGAAUCUAAAAGUUCAGUGUAAAGUUUAAUAAAAUCAGAGUGUGUAUGUGUCUUAAUUUCCAGGACAUAUAAUCAUAGUGAUUAAGCCAAAAGUGCUUAUAUGAUUACCUAUAAACUAUCAUAGUUAAAUGACUAAAUACCCUGCAUAAGGUAAAAUGAUUAUUUUAUUCCUAUAGAUUGAAAUUGCCCAACUUUUUAUUAGAGAAUAAUAGAUUAGAGGGCAUGUUGGCUCAUACCUGUAAGCCCAAUGCUUUGGGAGGCUGAAGCGGGAGGAUCCCUUGAGGCCAGGAGUUGAAGAUCAGCUUGGGCAACAUAGCAAGACCACAUCUCUACAAAAAAAUUUAAAAUAAAAUGUUUAUCCAAGCAUAGUGGCACUCACUCACCUGUAGUACUAGCUGCUGAGGAAGCUGAGGCCUGGAGUUCAAACUGCACAACGCUGCACUUCAACCUAUGUGACAAAGUGAGAUCCUAUCUCUAAAAUAAUUAAUUCAGUUUUUAUAAUUAGGGAACAUUUAAAUUCAGAUUAUAAGUAAAAAAUGGAAUAAACAGUCCUGUUACCUGAUAUGGUUUGGAUCUCCAUCCCUACCCAAAUCUUAUGUUGAAAUGUAAUCCCCAAUGCUGGAGGUGGGGCCUGGUGGGAGAUGAUUGGAUCAUGGUGGUGGUUUCUCAUGGUUUAACACCAUCGUCCCCUGGUGCUGUCGCCGUGAUGAUGAAUUCUCACGAGAUCUGGUUGGUUUAAAAGUGUGUGGCACCUCCCCCUUCUCUCUUGCUCCUGCUCCUACCAUGUGAGAUGCCUUGGUCCCCCUUUGCCUUCCGCCAUGAUUCAGAGUUCUCUGAGGCCUCCCCAGAAGCAGAUGCUGCCAUGCUUUCUGUACAGCCUGCAGAACCGUAAGCCAAUUAAACCUCUUUUCUUAUACAUUACCCAGUGUCAGAUAUUUCUUUAUAGCAGUGUGAGAAUGGAUUAAUACACUACGUCAUGCAAAAUGUAAAAACAGGCAACUCACUGAGAGUAAACCUAAUCAACUUGUUCAUUUAGAUAUAAACUGUAGAGACGACACUGCCAUCUAGUUGUUGAAUACUGAGUAUACUGUUGAAACAUUCUUGACAAUGUUCUAUUUCUCUUUUGUAGACUUACAAGGAACACACAGAAGCCCCUAACCAAUUACAUCUCCUUCCUAGGAGUGUGAAUGUGACUGCCAUAGUGCAGCCCAUGCUGCCCCUGGUAAUUAUAUGCCUCAACCCAAGCAGGUGAUUAUGUAUCCUGUGACUACCUCAUGCUCAAGGCUCUUCCAUAUUACACAAACACACACACUCAUACUCAAAAGCAAAACAAAAAUAAAACAAUCUGCUUGAUCCCUGCCCUAUAGAGAUUAGUCUAGUCAGGGAAACAUACAACUAAGCAUUCGAAUACAGUGUAGUGGGUGCUACGAGAGCAGAAGUACAGAAAAUAUGUAAGCUCCAACAAGCACCAGCAGGAGUUAAAGGUUUAGGGAAAAUUAGUGGGAAGUUUAUCUAAAAUGAAAGCAGUGGAUAAGAGGAGAUGAGAUUCUGCAGUGUCCUGUAAGCUAUUUUAUUCUAGAAGCAGUGGAAAGCUUUGAACUUUUUGAAAGACCUUAAGCAAGGAAAGGAAGUAAUUAGAUUUGUAUGUCAGAAAUAAUAUUCUGGUUUUAGUAUACAGAAUGGAUUAAAAGGAGGUAAGAUUAGAGGCAGGGAGAGCUUGUUAAUUUAAGCAAGAGUAAUUUAAGCAAGAGAUGAUGGUACUAAGCUAGGAUUAUAAACAUGGAAAUGGAGAGAAGUUGGAGGGUUUGAAAGAUGUUCUGCAGAUAUAAUAAAUAUGACUUGCUGAAAGCCAACUGUGGAGAAUUAGGAAGAUGGAAACACCAAAGAUGACUUCCAUGUUUCUGACUUCACAACUGAGUGCAUGGUGGUGUCCAAAAAGUGGAGGAGCAGGUUUUGAGAUAAUAAAAUUCAUUUUUACUCCUAUUGAGCUGGAGGCACUCACGGUGUAUCUAAGAACAAACAUCUAUUUGACAACUGAAUAUAUGGUGUGAUGCUCACUAUAGAGAUCUGGACGCUUCAGCACAUACAUUAUCGCUGACACACUGGGGUAGACAUAAGGCACGCUGAGUCUAUUUCAGGAAAUGUGCCUAGACUUAAAAUAGAUAUGCACAUAGAGUGGAAGGAAGAAGAGUAGAGAAAAUUGAGAAGGAAUAGUUAAGGAGGCUCCCUACCUUCUCACUCCACCUCAGGCCGGCAAGCAGAACUUACUGUUACCCCCUUGGGCUCCCACUGUUUUCCAUCUAUGCAUCUACCAAGGCAUCUGUUAUGUCAUUGAAUAUACUUAUCUUUCUCUCUCCUUCUACUAAAUUAUAAGGAUCUUAGGGCAAGGAUCAUGUCAUAUUCAUAUUUGGAUUCCCAGGACUUAACAACAGUGCUUGGCAGAUAGUUUUUCUUACGACUUUUAUUUAAUAACUAAUGAUAGAAAAAAUUCAUUGAGUACUUUCUGUGUUCUAGGCACUUUAUAUACAAGGUCUGUUAUACUUGGGAUAUAUUAAGACUCAGAAAAUUUAAAUGACUUGUCCAAGAAGCUUCCAGGAUUCAGACCUGGCUCUGUAUGAGUCCAUGCUUUUUUUUCUACUGUAUCAUACUGUCUACAACAGACUGGUGAAUGAAAUCUAUCUUUAACAAAAGAGGAAAAAAGGAAUUGCAUCUUAUAUAAGGCACAGAUACUGAUUCUUAUGCUAAACACAGUGAAGUCCUGUAGAGAAAAUCCUUGGGUUCUGUCUCCUGGGGUUACAUGCCAUGUAUGCCAGAAAGUAUAGCAAGUAAAUGGCUGCAUGUCCUAAACCAUAAGGAAGUUCAUACAGACUAAGCAAAAUGCAACUAGUUACCAUUUUGCACAGCAGCUCUUGGAAGGAUCCAGCAGUUACCACUACACCAUGGAUCUAAGACACCCUCACAAAGAUAGGCCAAACACGGCCUGCGACCUUCACCUUGUAAGUUUUGCUCAAAAUAACUUGGCCAAAAGCUGAGAAACUUUAGUACCAUCUAAACUUUUCAUUCCAAUUAUGCUUGGUCACUGCUCAGAAGGCAGCUCCCUCUCAUCCAUCAGCUUCCUCUCAAUUCUUGUCUCCAAACUGUGUACUGGAUAGCAUCCUGUCAACACACAAUGCCCUCCCUCCAACCUUUCAAGUAUGGGCUUUGGCAACCUAUUCCACUAUAAAUAAAUCCACCUAUACACUCAGCGCUUAUAAAACCUUUAAUUCCUUUGAAGUUCAUUCCAUUCAAUUUUGUCACCCUUCACCUUGCUUUGUCCCUAAUACCUACAUCAUGUUAUUCCUUUAAACCCCAAAUUCAUUUAAUCAUUUCCUAGGAGAUUUCAACAUUCAUGUGGAAUGUCGGUUGAACAUCCAACCAUCACAGUUCCAACGCCAGUUCAACCUCAUUCCCUUGGUCACACUCCCCACUUUGUUAUGGAGCGGUUCUGGUGAUUUUCAUACCCUUAUGCUUCCAUUCAUAUUACCCACAGUGCACCUGAUCAUUAACCUCAUUGAGACCUCCAUUCCUAUAAUGCCACCUCUUCUUCCAGUUUAUUCUUGAUCCCGCUUCCUUCUGUAUCUGGCCUCAAUCUCUUAAAUUGGUCAUAUGACCUGCUCUAGUGCUUUUCUUUUUCUUUUUUUUCUUUUUUUUUGAGACAAGGUCUUGCUCUGUCGUCCAAGCUGGAGUGCAGUGGCCCGAUCUUGGCUCACUGCAACCUUCACUUCCGGGGUUCAAGCCAUCCUCCCAUCUCAGCCUCCUGAGUAGCUGGGACUACAGGAGCUCACCACCACACUUGGCAAAUUUUUGUGUUUUUUGUAGAGAUGGAGUGUUGUCCAGGCUGGUCUCAAACUCUUGAGCUCAAGCAAUCCUCUUGCCUCAGCCUUCCAAAGUGUUGGGAUUACAGGCAUAAGCCACCAAGGCUGGCCUCGUCAGUGCUUUCAAUUACCCUCCAUAUUUUUCCAUCCCUGGGUUAUCUCUUCCAACUCACAUUUCUAUAUCCUGCCUGGCACAAAUGCUCUCAAUUCUCUUCUAUCCUUAUCUUUCUCCUAUAUCCAUUAUCCAAAUCACAAUUCUGGAUCAGUCCUAUAAUCUACCUGGCCCUGUAAGCCAUUCAGAUGAGAUGCUAGAAACAAUCACAAAAUCACCAUACUUUCAUGAUUUCCAAAUUCAGUUCCAUGGUUAACCCUGUUCAUUACUGUUUUUGUGUUUCAUCAGCUCUAUUCCAAACCAUCUCUAUUCUCUUCAAGCCUCUAAACUAACCUUUUGCACCCUCCUACUUCAUAAGUAAUAUCACCUAUCACUUCCUACUUCACAAAAAAUUUGGAGAACAUCUAAUAUAAAUCUCUCCUUUCACAUCUACAAACUUAUAACGAUUCCCUUCCUUCUAGUUUUGAGAAAAGGUGUGAAGGUGUGUUUUCCUUUUUUUUUUUUUUUUUGAGAUGGAGUCUCAUUGUAGUGCAGUGGCACGAUCUCGGCUCACUCCAGCCUCCACCUUCCGGGCUCAAGCAAUUCUCCUGCUUCAGCCUCCCGAGUAGAUGGGAUUACAGGCGCCUGCCACCAUGCCCGGCUAAUUUGUGUGUGUGUGGUUUCGUUUGUUUUUUUGAGAUGGAGUUUUGCUCUUGUUGCCCAGGCUGGAGUGCAAUGGUGUGAUCUUGGCUCACUGCAACCUCCGCCUCCUGGGUUCAAGCAAUUCUGCCUCAGUCUCCCAAGUGACUGGGAUUUCAGGCAUGCACCACCACGCCCGGCUAAUUUUGUAUUUUUAGUAGAGAUGGGGUUUCUCCAUGUUGGUCAGGCUGGUCUCGAACUCCUGACCACAGGUGAUGGGCCCGCCUCGGUCUCCCAAAGUGCUGGGAUUACAGGCGUGAGCCACUGUGCCCAGCCCCUAAAUCACCUAAUUCUUUAAUCUGAGCCCCAGUCUCAUUUCUCAGAUUCUGUUUAUACUAGGCUACAUAAAGCUCCUGAAUACACUAUUGUUUCACAUACCUAAAUUCAACAUUCUCUGAAGCUCUUCCUAGCCUAUCCAAACAGAGAUGAGUGCUGACUCCCAGGAGUUUAGAUAUUGCUGUUGCAUUCACUUCUUGUCUGUCUCCUUUAGGAGCUUGUGAAAAAUGUGAGAGAAAGGACAAUGUCAUGUACCCCCAGUGUGAAGUAUAGCACCUGGAGAUAGCAGGCAUUCAAUAACUACUGGAUGGAUGGAGGCAUUAUGAAGUUUGCCAAGUUUGUUAACACUACUAAAGGUUUCAAUGAAUGUAAAAACAGUGGCAGAUGGGUGGUUUUCUUGACUGUGGGAAAGGUAAAAUAGUAUAAAGUACUAGCAAGUAUAAACACAGGCAUACCUCAUUUUAUUGCAUUUUGCUUUACUGUACUUUGCAGAUACUGCAUUUUUUACAAAUUAAAGGUUUAUGGCAACCCUCCAACAAACAAGUCUGUUAAUGCCACCCCAAAGUCAUGUGCUCAUUUUGUGUCUCUGUGUCACAUUUUGGUAAUUCCUGCAAUAUUUCAAACUUUGUAUUAUUAUUAUUUCUGUUACAGUGAUCUGUGGUCAGUGAUCUUUGAUGUUACUAUUUUGACCGUUUGUGGGCACCACAAACUGUGCCCAUAUAACAUCAGCGAACUUAAUAAAUGGUGUGUGUGUUCGGACUGCUCUACCAACCGGCCAUCCCCCUAUCUUUCUCCCUCUCCUCAAACCUCCUUAUUCCCUGAGACACAAUACUGAAAUCAGGCCAAUUAAUCACCCUGCAAUGGCCUCCCAGUGUUCAAGUUAAAAGAAGACUUGUACAUCUCUCAUUGUAAAUCAAAAGCUAGAAAUGGUUAAGCUUAAUGAAGAGGCAUGUCAAAAGCCAAGACAGGCUAAAAAAGCUAGGGUCUUGUGCCAAACCAUUAAUUCUUGAAGGAAAUUAGAAGUGUUACUCCAGUAAACACCUAAGAAAACCUUAUUGCUGAUACGGAGAAAAAGUUUUAGUGGUCUGGAUAGAAAAUCAAACCAGCCACAACAUUCCCUUAGGCCAAAGCCUAAUCCAGAGCAAGGUUCUAAAUUCAAUUCUAUGAAGACUGAGAGGUAAGGAAGCUACAGAAGUUUGAAGCUAGUAGAGGUUGGUUUAUGAGGUUUAAAGAAAGAAGUCAUCUCCAUAAAUAAAAGUGCAAGGUGAAGCAGAAAGUGCUGAUGUAGAAGCUGCAGGAGUUUAUCCAGAUCCAGCUAAGACCAUUGUUAAAGGUGGCUAUACUCAGUAACAGAUUUUCAAUGUAGAUGUAACAAGCCUUUUAUUGGAAGAAGCCACCUUAGACUUUCACCGCUACAGAGAAGUCAGUGCCUGGCUUCAAAUCUUCCAAGAACCGGCUGACUUGUUAAAAGCUAAUGCUGCUGGUGACUUUAUAUUGAAGCCAAUGCUCAUUUGCCAUUCUGAAAAUCCUAGGGCCCUUAACAAUUAUGCUAAAUCUACUCUGCCUGUACUCUAUAAAUGGGACAAAGCCUGGAAGACAGCACAUCUGUUUACAGCAUGAUUUACUGAAUAUUUUAAGCCCACCAUUGAGAUCUACUGCACAAAAAGAUUCCUUUCAAAAUAUUGCUGCUCAUUAACAAUCAUCUCGUAUCCCAAGAGCUCAGACGGAGAUGGACAACGAGAUUCAUGCUGUUUUCAAGCCUGCUAACACAAUGUCCACUCUAUAGCCCAUAGACCAUGGAGCAAUUUCAACUUUCAAGUCUUAUGAUUUAAGAAAUACAUGUUGUAAGGCUAUUGCUGCCAUAAAUAGUGAUUUCUCUGAUGGAUCUGUGCAAAGUAAAUUGAAAACUUUCUGGAAAGGAUUCACUAUUCUAGAUAUCAAUAAGAACAUUCAUGAUUCAUGGGAUGAGGGCAAAAUAUCAUUUACUGGAGUUUAGAAGUUGUUUCCUGUCCUCAGAGAUGACUUUUAAGGGUUCAAGACUUCAAUGGAGGAAGUAACUGCAGAUGUGGUAGAAAUUGCAAGAUAACUAGAAUUAGGCCAGGUGUGGUGGCUCAAGCCUAUAAUCCCAGCACUUUGGGAGGCUAAAGUGGGCAGAUCGCUUGAGGCCAGGAGUUUGAGACCAGCCUGGAGUGAAACCCUGUCUCUACAAAAAAUGCAAAAAAUUAGCCAGGCAUGGUGGCGUGUACCUGUAGUCCCAGCUACUCUAGAGGCUAAAGUGGGAGGAUCACUUGGGCCCAAGAGGUAGAGGCUGCAGUGAGCUGUGAUGGUGCCACUGCACUCCAGCCCGGGGGCAGAGCAAGACCCUAUCUCAAAAAGAAAAAAGGCCAGACGUGGUGGCUCAUGCCUGUAACUCCAGCACUUUGGGAGGCCAAGGCGGGAAGAUCAUUUGAGCUCAGAAGUUCAAGACCAACCUGGGCAACAUGGCAAAAUCCUGUCUCUACUAAAAAUACAAAAAUUAGCCAGGUGUAGUGGCACGCACCUGCAGUCUUAGUUCUUGGGAGGG
rnacentral:lncRNA from 10 species